rnacentral:tRNA from 1 species
GCCGCGGUAGCUCAGUCGGUAGAGCGCCGGUUUGAAAAGCCGGGCGCGGGGCAUCGAUUCCCUCCUGCGGCA